UUCGCUCUACAAAUAGAGUAUCGUGACAGAAAAAGUCAUGAUUACAAGUAAUUAUAUUUGUUUGGUAGUUGAGGAUAGAUCAUAAUUUGGAGAUUUAAUAAAAAAUAGGGCGAAAUAAUCGAGGAACUGAAAAUAAACGAAAGAAAAGAAUGCAGAAACCGUGGAGUAUGGUUAAUUUCGCAAGCCUCAAGCCUGUUACAAUAACUAUAAAGGUUGAUUUUUCUCAUCACAAUAAAUCUCCACUGCUAUAAAACAGUAAGCUUCUGUAAUUAGCAUGUUUCGGCUAUUA